rnacentral:rRNA from 1 species
AUUGAACGCUGGCGGCAUGCUUUACACAUGCAAGUCGAACGGUAACAGGGAGCUUGCUCCGCUGACGAGUCGCGAACGGGUGAGUAAUGCGUCGGAACGUGCCGAGUAGUGGGGGAUAACGCAGCGAAAGUUGUGCUAAUACCGCAUACGUACUGAGGUAGAAAGUGGGGGACCUUCGGGCCUCACGCUAUUCGAGCGGCCGACGUCUGAUUAGCUAGUAGGUGAGGUAAAGGCUCACCUAGGCGACGAUCAGUAGCGGGUCUGAGAGGAUGAUCCGCCACACUGGGACUGAGACACGGCCCAGACUCCUGCGGGAGGCAGCAGUGGGGAAUUUUGGACAAUGGGCGAAAGCCUGAUCCAGCCAUGCCGCGUGUCUGAAGAAGGCCUUCGGGUUGUAAAGGACUUUUGUCGGGGAGGAAAUCCCCAGCGCUAAUACCGCUGGGGGAUGACAGUACCUGAAGAAUAAGCACCGGCUAACUACGUGCCAGCCGCCGCGGUAAGAC